rnacentral:rRNA from 1 species
CUCGUAGGUGGUUUGUCGCGUUGUUCGUGAAAACCGGGGGCUUAACCCUCGGCGUGCGGGCGAUACGGGCAGACUGGAGUACUGCAGGGGAGACUGGAAUUCCUGGUGUAGCGGUGGAAUGCGCAGAUAUCAGGAGGAACACCGGUGGCGAAGGCGGGUCUCUGGGCAGUAACUGACGCUGAGGAGCGAAAGCGUGGGGAGCGAACAGGAUUAGAUACCCUGGUAGUCCACGCCGUAAACGGUGGGUACUAGGUGUGGGUUUCCUUCCUUGGGAUCCGUGCCGUAGCUAACGCAUUAAGUACCCCGCCUGGGGAGUACGGCCGCAAGGCUAAA